GUACACGCUGUGACUAGCAUAUCAAUAAGCGGAGGAAAAGAAACUAACAAGGAUUCCCCUAGUAACGGCGAGUGAAGCGGGAAGAGCUCAAAUUUGAAAUCUUAAAGGGUUUCCCUUUACGAAUUGUAGUUUAAAGAAGUGUUUUCUGUUGAGGUCUUGGUAAAAGUUCUUUGGAAUAGGACAUCAUAGAGGGUGAGAAUCCCGUAUUUGACCUUUACUUUCAACUUUGUGAUACACUUUCAAAGAGUCGGAUUGUUUGGGGAUGCAGUCCAAAAUGGGUGGUAAAUUUCAUCUAAAGCUAAAUAUUGGCGAGAGACCGAUAGCGAACAAGUACCGUGAGGGAAAGAUGAAAAGAACUUUGAAAAGAGAGUUAAACAGUACGUGAAAUUGUCAAAAGGGAAGCGUUUGACACCAGUGUUGUUUUUCUGAAAAUCAAUUAAAGAACUGUUUAUGCUAAGUUGUUUAGACUUUAUCAGCUAUCUGUUUAGUUUUGAGCUUUUCUUUAAUGCACUUUUCAGUUAACAAGUCAACAUCAAUUUCUUUUGCUGUAAAAAAGCUUGAGGAAGGUGGCUUGAGAUUCGUCUUAAGUGUUUAUAGCCUCUUGCCUAUGCAGUCGGAGAGAUUGAGGUCUGCAGCGUAGAUCCUUCGGGGCUAAAUGUAUUUGUGCUAAGUUAUAGCAUUUUAUAGACAACUUGUUGACUAUGAUUUGUCUUGUAGCUUACUCGCUUAUGUUAUUUUACCUACGCUUAGGAUGUUGAAGAUGUAGCACAUCAU
rnacentral:rRNA from 1 species